GCGAAAGCUAGUUGUAUUAUUAGUUAAUGCAAGAUCGACUACGUCGACUAAAGUUCUAGGUAGAAUAAUGAUGAUGACAAUUUUUUACCUAUAUGUCUUGACCAAGUCUCGUGCCAGCAGUCGCGGUAAUACGUGGAAGACUAGUGUUAUUCAUCUUUAUUAGGUUUAAAGGGUACCUAGACGGUAUUUCUAGCCCAAAAUAGGGUACGGAUUUACUAGAGUUUUAUGUGAGGAGGGGAGUACUCGUGGAGUAGAGAUGAAAUUUUGUUAUACUAUGAGGUAACUGGUGGCGGCGAAAGCAACCUUCUAUGUAUAAACUGACGUUGAGGGACGAAGGCUUGGGUAGCAAAUAGGAUUAGAUACCCUAGUAGUCCAAGCAGACAAUUCUGAAUGCCAUAGAUUAGAUUAUUUUUGAUCUAUAAAUGAAAGUGUAAGCAUUCCACCUUAGGAGUAAUGUGGCAACACAGGAACUGAAAUCAUUAGACCGUUUCUGAAACCAGUAGUGAAGUAUGUUAUUUAAUUUGAUGGUCCACAAAAAACCUUACCACAACUUGAAUAUUUUUUAAUUAAUACAAGCGUUGCACGGCUGUCUUCAGUUAAUGUCGUGAGAUUUUGGUUAACUCCAUUAAUUAACGUAAACCCUUACUUUAUUUC
rnacentral:rRNA from 1 species